UGCACGGAUACGGACGAUGAGGCUCCUUCGUCGCCGGAGAUUCCCAUUCAAGCAGCAGAUUUGUUUAGGUGUUGGUGCUUGGGCUGCAAUCCGGAACGCCCAGAUGAAUUUCUGUGCUGCCGAAGCGUCGUGCUCAUUUCCCAAAUCUGUGACGAAAACAACAUCGAUUGCAUUGCUCAGCAUCAUAUGUUUCCACUGUUGUGCCUUAACCGCGAAAUUCUCUCAGUUUUCGUACGGCACAUGAGGCACUACAUCCCCACCCAACUGGAGCAACACAGAGACGAGAACAGCACACUCCGGUUUGCAGCAUAUACCUUGUUUGUAUGUUGGGUGUGGGGCCGCCUUGGCCGUGGACAUCGCAGGCAAAUACCCGGCUGCUGCGUAUUAGCUAUUCGCAGUGCAUUUCCAUCAGCAGUGUAUCACGGGUAUCAAGGUGGGAGAGAUGCAACAAACAGUUCCGAUGAGCAAUCUAUUGA